GGGCGGGGCUGGGGCGCGAGGCGAACUGGCCUGUGGCGUAUUUGGCGGGAGGCUGGCUUCCCCCGGCUACCUGUGGCUGCGCGGGAUUUCCAGUUUCCGCCCUGUCUCUCCCUGAAGCUUCUCAGUCCUCCCUCCAUGGUGACUGCGUAGGGCAUAGUAGCCUUUCCCUCGGAGGACGCGAUGGCGCCCAGGAAACGCCCGGAAGCCCCGAAGACCCCCAGCGUGGCGGCGCGCCUCCGGAGCAAGAGAAGUCCCCGGGAGCUGGAGCCCGAGGCCAAGAAGCUCAGGGUGAAGGGCUCCGGUUCUAGCAGGAGAUAUGACUCAGGCUGCCUUUGGGCGGGGUUGGCUAGCCUGCAGGUCCCGCCACCAAGCAGCAGCAUCGUCAGGGCCCUCCACCAGUAUAAGUUGGGCAAAGCUGCCUGGCCAUCACUACAGCAGGGUCUUCAGCAGUCCUUUUUGCACUCUCUGGCUUCUUACCGGAUAUUCCAAAAGGCUGCUCCCUUUGACAGGAGGGCUACAUCCUUGGCAUGGCACCCGACUCAUCCCAGCACCCUGGCUGUGGGUUCCAAAGGGGGAGAUAUCAUGCUCUGGAACUUUGGCAUAAAGGAAAAACCCACCUUCAUUAAAGGGAUUGGAGCUGGAGGGAGCAUCACUGCGCUGAAGUUUAACCUUCUCAAUACCAACCAGUUUUUUGCCUCCUCAAUGGAGGGAACAACUAGGCUGCAGGACUUUAAAGGCAACACUCUCCGAGUUUUUACCAGCUCAGAUACCUGCAACGUCUGGUUUUGCAGCCUGGAUGUGUCUGCCAACAGCCGAAUGGUGGUCACAGGAGACAACGUGGGGCAUGUGAUCCUGCUGAACACAGAUGGCAAGGAGCUUUGGAAUCUCCGAAUGCACAAAAAGAAAGUGACCCAUCUGGCUCUAAACCCCUGCUGCGACUGGCUACUGGCCACAGCUUCCGUAGAUCAAACAGUGAAACUCUGGGACCUGCGCCAGAUUAGAGGGAAAGCCAGCUUCCUUUACUCGCUGCCACACAGGCAUCCUGUCAACUCAGCUUGUUUCAGCCCUGAUGGAGCCCGGCUCCUGACCACUGAUCAGAAGAGUGAGAUCCGGAUUUACUCUGCUUCCCAGUGGGACUGUCCCCUGGACCUGAUCCCACACCCUCACCGUCACUUCCAGCACCUAACACCCAUCAAGGCAACCUGGCAUCCUCGGUACAACCUCAUUGUUGUGGGCCGAUACCCAGAUCCUAAUUUCAAAAGUUGUGCCCCCUAUGAAUUAAGGACGAUUGAUGUGUUUGAUGGAAGCUCUGGGAAGAUGAUGUGUCAGCUCUAUGACCCAGAAUCUUCUGGUAUCAUUUCGGUGAGGCUUGGGCACUCAAAUGAUGGGGGGGAAGCAGGAAUUCACCCGACCUCAGCAGAAAUUAGUCCUAUGUGCCCUUCUGUCUCUACCAAUACCUUCACUCUCUCUUCAUGUUGAUACUCUUGUCUCUGCAGCUCAACGAGUUCAACCCCAUAGGGGACACGCUGGCCUCUGCCAUGGGUUAUCACAUUCUCAUUUGGAGCCAGGAGGAGGCUAAGCCAUGGGAUGAAAAUGAGACACAUUGAAGAAAGUGUGGGCAAAGCAACAGCUACGAGGCCACAAAUGGAAAUGAGUGCUAUGAAGAGGCAGCUACCUGUUACCGGGCCAAAAGUAUCCAAGUCUUAGGAUUGAAGAUGGGCACUGUGGGACGGGGACUGGGACAUUGGAAUGUUACUGCUUUUGACAGCUCCAGAAACUUGGGGUGAUCCAGCUGCCCUAAGAGUCCUGUUUUAUCUAGCCUGGAGCCAGCUUACCCUGAAGCUAAAGUACUUUUCUCCUUUCUAAUAGGUGGUGGCUGAGUGAUCAGGGCGUGUUUUUUGUUUUUGGUUUGUAUUCACUAUUGACAAGGCCAAUAAAACCAAAUCCAACUGAG